GACGAACCGUGCGAACGUUAUUCGGAAUCACUGGGCUUAAAGCGCGUGUAGGCGGGACGGCACGUCGGUCGCUGAAAUCCCCCGGCUCAACCGGGGAACGGGCGCCGAUACGACCGGCCUGGAGGGACGUAGGGGGACCUGGAACUUCCGGUGGAGCGGUGAAAUGCGUUGAUAUCAGCAGGAACACCGGUGGCGAAAGCGGCUUACUGGGUCUCUUCUGACGCUGAGGUACGAAAGCUAGGGUAGCGAACGGG
rnacentral:rRNA from 1 species